GACAGCUGGUCUUCCUGACCGCUGCCUAAGCCGUCCCCGCGAGGGGCGGCUUUUUUUUAAUGGGCG
rnacentral:sRNA from 1 species